GGGGAUAAAGCUCAGUGGCAGAGCACUUGCCUCGCAUGCAUGAAGCCCUGGGUUUCACCCAUCCCCA
rnacentral:tRNA from 1 species